GAAAAGAAAGGUCCUGUUGAAGUCCUCGAGUCGUUUGCAUUCUUGGCAUCAUUGGCUCAACUGAAACUAGAAUUUCUUGGUGGUUGGUUUUUCAACUUUGAAACGGCGUUUGGGGUUGAGAUAGUUAAAUGUCAACUGUCUCCAGAGAUGACUACAAGAAUAUGGUCCUGUCUGAGUUCCUUCACCGCACUAAACCAUCUCAACAUCUCAGACUCAUCUAUCGAUUUCCCUCCAGCUCCUCCUGAUCCACCAUCCAUCAAAAGUCUAUCAGUUGAGAAAGUGACGUCACAAUGUUUGGAAAGUCUGAUUUCAUCGCUCCCUGGUUUGACAGACUUGGUAUAUAUCAAUGAUGCAAAGGGGGACAUAGCCAUGAUCACAUCUGCUCUUCGUCGGA